AGUGAACGCUGGCGGUAGGUCUAACACAUGCAAGUCGAACGGCAGCACAGGAGAGCUUGCUCUCUGGGUGGCGAGUGGCGGACGGGUGAGGAAUACAUCGGAAUCUACUUUUACGUGGGGGAUAACGUAGGGAAACUUACGCUAAUACCGCAUACGACCUACGGGUGAAAGCAGGGGAUCUUCGGACCUUGCGCGAUUGAAUGAGCCGAUGUCGGAUUAGCUAGUUGGCGGGGUAAAGGCCCACCAAGGCGACGAUCCGUAGCUGGUCUGAGAGGAUAAUCAGCCAGACUGGAACUGAGACACGGUCCAGACUCCUACGGGAGGCAGCAGUGGGGAAUAUUGGACAAUGGGCGCAAGCCUGAUCCAGCCAUUACGCGUGGGUGAAGAAGGCCUUCGGGUUGUAAAGCCCUUUUGUUGGGAAAGAAAUCCAGCUGGUUAAUACCCGGUUGGGAUGACGGUACCCAAAGAAUAAGCACCGGCUAACUUCGUGCCAGCCGCCGCCGUAA
rnacentral:rRNA from 1 species